GCCUAGCGCAUUUUUACAGUAGCGUUCAGACUGUUCCGGACUGUUGGGUGCCGUCGGAGUUGACGGUGGAUCCAUAUCGCCGUUUUGGCGUUAGAUUGUGCCGAGGGCACGUGACCUGUUGGUUGUUAGACCAGUUGGACCCUGUUACUUGACUUUGGCUUGUGAGAGCCUGAUUGAGCUCGACAGAGAUACGCUGCAUACUCGGUUGGGUAGCUC
rnacentral:lncRNA from 1 species